CCUAUAAUAUUUUAAAUAUAUAUAAUUAUAAUGUAUAAUAUAAAAAUUUAUAAAAAAAUUUAAAACUCAUAAAAAAUAUAAAUAUAUAAAAAUAACUAAAAAUUUAUAAAUGUAUAUAUAUUUAUAAAUGUAUAAUAUAAAUGGUUGUUUACACUUCUUGAUGUAAAAUUUUUUUAUGCCUUUAUUGAUUUAUAUAUAUAUUAUUUUUUAAAAAUUAUAUAUAUUUUUAAUUUCGAAGUAAUAAUUGUAGGGCCCAAUUUAGCCUAGAGCCCAUAAACCAAAAACCAAAUAAGAACAAAACCCUAAAACCUCAACCCAAACCAUAAAUACUCAUUUACAACGCAGCCCAAUUAGCCUACGAACCUAAAACAUUUCAGCAAGGGAAACCCUAACAGCCCCUUUGCGCAGUUUCAGCAAACAGCGUGCCCCCUCACGCACCAGGCACCACCAUCCCGUGACGUGCGUUGAUCCACCACGCCACGUCAGAGACGUGUUCAAUCACGCACCUGCAAACAAACACAAAAAAGGGACAGCAGCAAAAAGUUGUUUUUCUCCCCGCUUUCCGUUCGGCUAUAAAAUUGAAGAGGAUCGAAUGUAAAAAGGGACUUUUUUUUUUCGGUUUUUUACGAAUACAGUAACAGAUAUACACACCAAAAAUCAAUAGAAAAGAUUUUAGGGCAAAAGAAAUCCAAAAGGUGAUUUUAGAUUCAACUGUCCUUGAUUUUACGUUUUCUUUUGAUUCUAUUUCUUUUAUUUUUUCCAUUUGAAUUUUAAAACAUUUGAAAAUAUAAAAAGGGAAAGAUUUAUCUUACGAAUAGGCUGUGGAGUUCCGUUUGCUUCGCUGAAGUCGGAGCUUUGAGGGGGUUUUAUAGUCAAGAAUGUCGGCCCUCGAAACUUGAAUCUGCUGGACGUCGUUUAGGGUGGCAGAUCGGCAUUCAAAGAGAGGGAUUAAAGUCGGCUAAGGGGAAAAAUUAAGAGAGAAAUAAAAAGGGGCUAGGGUUUCUUUUAAAAAAAAUGGCAGGAUGCCAUUCAAUUGUUUUUUUUUUAGUUUUUUAAAUGGCAAACAAAACGGCGCCGUUUGGGAGGGAUGGGAUCCGCGCUUUUGUGCUUUGAAGGGGAAAUUUAUACGGCUGGUCAUCCCCUUUUGCUCCGACUUUCGAUUUGACCCAGUUUGAAUUUCAUUUGUUUUUUAAAAAUUGCCCGUGGAUUUUGCACGUAGAUUCAAUGUGGUCCGCGUUGAAACGUCGCGUUUGGAGGGCUUGGGAUAUUUUCUCUAUCAGUCCUUCCCCUUUACACGCGCGUCUACUUUGAUCCCAGUUCAUGAUUUGUUAUUUCUUUGCAUUUUAUAAUUUGCACCCCAUGUUUCGUUUUGAUUAUAAUUAAAUCCCAAGCCUUUUACAACUCAAAUUACUUUUAGUUUUUUUUUUGUUUUUUAAAUAUUUUAUUUACUUAUUGUAUUAUUCUCAUUGUUAUUAUUUUGUUUUUUGUUUAUUAUUUUACAUCUGUACAUACUUUUCAAUAUUGGAUUGCUAAUUAAUAUUAUCAUUGUUAUUAUUAUUCUUACUAUUAUAUAUU
rnacentral:lncRNA from 1 species